AGUGAACGCUGGCGGUAGGCCUAACACAUGCAAGUCGAACGGCAGCACAGUAAGAGCUUGCUCUUACGGGUAGCGAGUGGCGGACGGGUGAGGAAUACAUCGGAAUCUACUUUUUCGUGGGGGAUAACGUAGGGAAACUUACGCUAAUACCGCAUACGACCUACGGGUGAAAGCAGGGGAUCUUCGGACCUUGCGCGAUUGAAUGAGCCGAUGUCGGAUUAGCUAGUUGGCGGGGUAAAGGCCCACCAAGGCGACGAUCCGUAGCUGGCCUGAGAGGAUGAUCAGCCACACUGGAACUGAGACACGGCCCAGACUCCUACGGGAGGCAGCAGUGGGGAAUAUUGGACAAUGGGCGCAAGCCUGAUCCAGCCAUACCGCGUGGGUGAAGAAGGCCUUCGGGUUGUAAAGCCCUUUUGUUGGGAAAGAAAAGCAGCAGGUUAAUACCCCGCUGUUCUGACGGUACCCAAAGAAUAAGCACCGGCUAACUUCGUG
rnacentral:rRNA from 1 species